CUAGUCUGGGGAAAGGCUCCUGUGUGGUUGAACACACACACAACCCUCUCACACCCCGGUGGUGGAUGCAGCCUUGUACUAGGCAGCCUGACCCUGACCUAGAAUAAAUUCCCAGGGAGACUCUUCACUGGGUUUUGAAGUACAGGUGUGAACAUUCUAGCAGCAGUUUGAUGAUCACGUAUGAUACUGCAAACAGAA
ensembl:scaRNA